rnacentral:sRNA from 1 species
GAUUGUUCAUAGUCAGGUACAGAUUGGACUUUUGCUCUGUUCUUUCCCCCCGCUCACUGCUGUGCCUGACUAAUCUUUA